rnacentral:rRNA from 1 species
AAGAUGGCGACCGGCGCACGGGUGAGUAACACGUAUCCAACCUGCCGAUAACUCCGGAAUAGCCUUUCGAAAGAAAGAUUAAUACCGGAUAGUAUACGAAUAUCGCAUGAUAUUUUUAUUAAAGAAUUUCGGUUAUCGAUGGGGAUGCGUUCCAUUAGUUUGUUGGCGGGGUAACGGCCCACCAAGACUGCGAUGGAUAGGGGUUCUGAGAGGAAGGUCCCCCACAUUGGAACUGAGACACGGUCCAA